CCUACGGGAGGCAGCAGUGAGGAAUAUUGGUCAAUGGGCGCGAGCCUGAACCAGCCAAGUCGCGUGAGGGAAGACGGUCCUAUGGAUUGUAAACCUCUUUUGUCGGGGAGCAAAAGACGCCACGCGUGGCGUUCCGAGAGUACCCGAAGAAAAAGCAUUGGCUAACUCCGUGCCAGCAGCCGCGGUAAUACGGAGGAUGCGAGCGUUAUCCGGAUUUAUUGGGUUUAAAGGGUGCGCAGGCGGAAGAUCAAGUCAGCGGUAAAAUUGAGAGGCUCAACCUCUUCGAGCCGUUGAAACUGGUGUUCUUGAGUGAGUGAGAAGUAGGCGGAAUGCGUGGUGUAGCGGUGAAAUGCAUAGAUAUCACGCAGAACUCCGAUUGCGAAGGCAGCAUACCGGCGCUCAACUGACGCUCAUGCACGAAAGUGUGGGUAUCGAACAGGAUUAGAUACCCUGGUAGUC
rnacentral:rRNA from 1 species